AAGUCGUAACAAGGUAACCGUAGGUGAACCUGCGGUUGGAUCAUUGAUUUAUUCAGAGUAUCCUGUAACCUGUGAAAAAUUAUACUAAGCUGCUUAGUAUUCGUCACUGUCAAAGAGUUCUGCGACAUACUGAACCAAUAUGUGAAUCAAACUGUAACCAAUUUCUUUAAACCUAACAAAUUACAACUUCUGACAAUGGAUCUCUUGAGUCCU
rnacentral:misc_RNA from 1 species